rnacentral:tRNA from 1 species
GGCCUCGUAGCUCAGUUGGCAGAGCAAAUUGGACUAGUAUCCCAAAGGUCGCGGGUUCGAUUCCCACCGUGGUCA